AUUUAUUAGUAUUAAUAUAUUUGACUGUAUAAUAAAACAAAAUACAGUAUGUUAAUUUAUUGGCAUAUAUAUGUAGAAGAAGAUAUCAUAUGGAAUGAGGAAGGAUCGUAUACGUAUAUACUAUCUUUGUCUUCUUAUAUUUUCAUACAAUUAUGGAAGAAAAAAAAAGAAAAUUACUCACAUAAAAAUUCAGCAGAUAUACUGGCUCUUCAAGCUAGGUUUUUUUAUGUGAUAAUUAUGGUUCUAUAUGUGGAUUAAAAGGGCUAAGAUUAUUAAUUGUGGGUCUAGCUGUCUUAAUGUUUUUGGAUAUAGAAGUAUAGCACAGGGGAUGAAAUUACUGUUUGGAGUUGAUUGCAAGAAUCGCACACUUUGAUCUGAGAUAUAUAAUAUAAUAGAGAGCACCAUUGAUGUUCU
rnacentral:lncRNA from 1 species